GCGGAUUUUAUUUCCUGAGCUCGCUUCCCACAAUGGCCCUUCCUUCCUUUCUCCUGCUCAUGCCUUGCCAAGUUCGAUGGCAGCAACGACUGCCCCGGCCCUUGAUCCGAGUCCCUGGGGAUGCAGCAGGAGCAGGAAGUCAGCUUUCGGCCCUGUCCACAUCUUGGCCGUGUGACCUCUGACUUGACAACGUCUCCUGGCUCUUUCCUUUCUUGAGCCCCUUGCCCCAGCCAGGCUGGCAUGAGGAAUCACAGAGAUCCCAUUCCCUGCUGAGACCUGUCUUACUGAGAUGGGGCUUCUCAUCCUGCCCCACCGGAAGCCGGACAGAGCUUUCAACUCCAGAAAGGGGCUGUGUGGACUUGGGCUGGUUUCCUAACUUCUCUGGAGUUCACUGCCAUAAGCUGCUAAGCAGGGCAAUCCUCUACUUGCAAAAAGCCAAGGUGCUGCUGCCUGUGACAGAUGCCCCACUAUUUCAUGUACCACUGAAAAAAUCAACAAGAAAGCAUUGUCAAUUAAACCGUGAGUCAGUGUGAAAUGCCAUGAAUUGUAAGACAUGUCCACAUUUUGGUGAUAUCAUAAUAUGUAACAGGAGUUUGUUUUAGAACUGGUGACGAAUGGUCACCACAUACAGCCUCAGCACAGACUGGCAUGGAGCCCUCCCCUAGCCAGGAUGGGGUUCCAUGUCCCCAUCUGCCUUGUAUCCGGGG
rnacentral:lncRNA from 1 species